CUACGGGGGGCAGCAGUGAGGAAUAUUGCACAAUGGGGGGAACCCUGAUGCAGCAACGCCGCGUGGAGGAUGACGCAUUUCGGUGUGUAAACUCCUUUUAUAUGUCAAGGAAAUGACGGUAGCAUAUGAAUAAGCACCGGCUAACUCCGUGCCAGCAGCCGCGGUAAUACGGAGGGUGCAAGCGUUACUCGGAAUCACUGGGCGUAAAGGACGCGUAGGCGGGUUGGAAAGUCAGGUGUGAAAUCCUACAGCUUAACUGUAGAACUGCACUUGAAACUUCUAAUCUAGAGUAUGGGAGGGGGAGAUGGAAUUAGUGGUGUAGGGGUAAAAUCCGUAGAUAUCACUAGGAAUACCUAAAGCGAAGGCGAUCUCCUGGAACAUUACUGACGCUAAGGCGUGAAAGUGUGGGGAGCAAACAGGAUUAGAUACCCUAGUAGUC
rnacentral:rRNA from 1 species